rnacentral:piRNA from 1 species
UACCAAUCAAACUUUAUUGAA